GCGCGGGGGCAACCCUGGCGGCGAGCGGCGAACGGGUGAGUAAUAUAUCGGAACGUAUCCGGAAGUGGGGGAUAGCUCGGCGAAAGCCGGAUUAAUACCGCAUAUGCCCUGAGGGGGAAAGGAGGGGAUCCGCAAGGACCUUUCGCUUUCGGAGCGGCCGAUAUCGGAUUAGCUAGUUGGUGAGGUAAAGGCUCACCAAGGCGACGAUCCGUAGCUGGUCUGAGAGGACGACCAGCCACACUGGAACUGAGACACGGUCCAGACUCCUACGGGAGGCAGCAGUGGGGAAUUUUGGACAAUGGGGGACACCCUGAUCCAGCCAUUCCGCGUGAGUGAAGAAGGCCUUCGGGUUGUAAAGCUCUUUCAGACGGAAAGAAACGGUCACGGCCAAUACCCGUGACUAAUGACGGUACCGUCAGAAGAAGCACCGGCUAACUACGUGCCAGCAGCCGCGGUAAUACGUAGGGUGCGAGCGUUAAUCGGAAUUACUGGGCGUAAAGCGUGCGCAGGCGGUUUUGUAAGACAGGUGUGAAAUCCCCGGGCUUAACCUGGGAACUGCAUUUGUGACUGCAAGACUAGAGUGCGGCAGAGGGGGGUAGAAUUCCACGUGUAGCAGUGAAAUGCGUAGAUAUGUGGAGGAAUACCGAUGG
rnacentral:rRNA from 1 species